CUUGCUUUUCUUUGGCGGCGAGUGGCGAACGGGUGAGUAAUAUAUCGGAACGUGCCCAGUAGCGGGGGAUAACUACGCGAAAGCGUGGCUAAUACCGCAUACGCCCUACGGGGGAAAGGGGGGGAUUCUUCGGAACCUCUCACUAUUGGAGCGGCCGAUAUCAGAUUAUCUAGUUGGUGGGGUAAAGGCCCACCAAGGCGACCAUCUGUAGCUGGUUUGAGAGGACGACCAGCCACACUGGGACUGAGACACGGCCCAGACUCCUACGGGAGGCAGCAGUGGGGAAUUUUGGACAAUGGGGGAAACCCUGAUCCAGCCAUCCCGCGUGUGCGAUGAAGGCCUUCGGGUUGUAAAGCACUUUUGGCAGGGAAGAAACGGCGCAUUCUAAUACGAUGCGUCACUGACGGUACCUGCAGAAUAAGCACCGGCUAACUACGUGCCAGCAGCCGCGGUAAUACGUAGGGUGCAAGCGUUAAUCGGAAUUACUGGGCGUAAAGCGUGCGCAGGCGGUUCGGAAAGAAAGAUGUGAAAUCCCAUAGCUUAACUUUGGAACUGCAUUUU
rnacentral:rRNA from 1 species